rnacentral:rRNA from 1 species
GGGGAAUCUUAGACAAUGGGCGCAAGCCUGAUCUAGCCAUGCCGCGUGAUCGAUGAAGGCCUUAGGGUUGUAAAGAUCUUUCAGGUGGGAAGAUAAUGACUGUACCACCAGAAGAAGCCCCGGCUAACUCCGUGCCAGCAGCCGCGGUAAUACGGAGGGGGCUAGCGUUGUUCGGAAUUACUGGGCGUAAAGCGCACGUAGGCGGAUCAGAAAGUCAGAGGUGAAAUCCCAGGGCUCAACCUUGGAACUGCCUUUGAAACUCCUGAUCUUGAGGUCGAGAGAGGUGAGUGGAAUUCCGAGUGUAGAGGUGAAAUUCGUAGAUAUUCGGAGGAACACCAGUGGCGAAGGCGGCUCACUGGCUCGAUACUGACGCUGAGGUGCGAAAGCGUGGGGAGCAAAC